UACGUAGGGUGCAAGCGUUGUCCGGAAUUAUUGGGCGUAAAGAGCUCGUAGGCGGUUCGUCGCGUCGGCUGUGAAAACCCGGAGCUCAACUCCGGGCCUGCAGUCGAUACGGGCGGACUUGAGUGUUGCAGGGGAGACUGGAAUUCCUGGUGUAGCGGUGAAAUGCGCAGAUAUCAGGAGGAACACCGGUGGCGAAGGCGGGCCUCUGGGCAACUACUGACGCUGAGGAGCGAAAGCGUGGGGAGCGAACAGG
rnacentral:rRNA from 1 species